rnacentral:lncRNA from 1 species
UGGUGGUAUUUUUGGGUGAUAUUUGUAACCACUUAACACCACUUUCCAGACUAUUUGUACCACCCUUAGCCGAAAAUUCAGAGUUAAAAGAUGACUAGGUGCAUUUUUUACUCAACUUAGGUGUAAUCCAUCCAGUACUUUAGGGUUUUCUUGCAACUAUGGUGUAAUUUCAAGUUCUUAUGUUUUUUACACCUCAGCUUAUUGGUAGUAAAAUUAUUACCCAAGUGCAUUUUUAAUCCCAUGCGGAUAAUAAAUGGCUAGUUGGUAGCAUAAAUUUACACUUGCGUGGUUCAGCUGAUUAUCGCAAAACCUAAAUGGAGUAAAUUUACACUGUGGACUUGAUAAGCGAGGGAUUUUUAGGUGUGGUUUUAUGCUACAUGGUUAUUUCAGUCUUCAGUGUUGUAUUUUUACAGCUCGGGGCGUUAUUUUACUAUGGUGUUCCACGUGGCCAAUUUAUACCGCCAUUUUGUACCGCCAUUUUACCGUUUGUGUCGAAACUUUGAACUGGAUGGAUACAUGGUGAAGCGUGGGGUGGCGUGCAGGUGAAGCGUGCAGUGUCUACUGGACGACCAAGACCGCGGCAAGCAGUGAACAACAAAGUUGUGGCACGAUCUGACCCUGAUUAUGGGGACUCGUGAGGAGCCAGAAGAGCUAAAGGAAAAAGUUACGAACAUCCAGCAAGUGUGUGAGCAGUAUGCGGCCAACGUCCUCCCUGAUACGCCAAUCACCGACGGUGACGAACUGGUGGCGCUACCCGCCUACGGGCGCGGGGCGACGCUGGACGAUCUGAAGAACGAGCAGAGCUCCGUGAGUGUUCAGUCGUCCCGCCUCAACGUUCAGAGAGCGAGUUCGAGCUGCCACAGUCGAAGGUCGGUGAAGUUGCCACAAUCCUUGCAACUCAUGCCGUGUUUUAUCUUCCGUUCUGUUGACCAUGCAAGUGCCUCUUCGAGGUGCUCUACAAGAAGGCCCUAAACAUCUAUUUCACUAAGUAAAGCAUCGUAGAAGAUAGUGUGCUCCCUGGCUGAGUAGAGUGCAAGAUGCGCGUGCGAGAGUACUGGCAAUUGCGGUACGCCACUCUUGUCAUGUCGGCAGCUCAGAUCUAGCACAGACCCACAGACGAAGAGUGUAUACUGUAUACUGCGUGGUCUGCGUGCGUUUCAUGUUUCAAAGUUUUUCAUGUUUAAGCGCCAAGAGUACAAAGUACAGGGUGGCGCACGGAAAACCCCCGAAUUGAAACUUUAAUACCUUCCAUGAUUAUUAACCAAAUUUGAUGAUAUUUUCACACAAUGUACAUACGUAGAUACACGUUUGGGAUGAUAUUCAUCCAAGUUUUAGACAAAUGCAUUCACGCUCAGCUGAGUUGUGCACCUUAACGUGACCACUAUCGUUUUUCAGUACUUUCUCGA